rnacentral:rRNA from 1 species
GAUGAACGCUAGCUACAGGCUUAACACAUGCAAGUCGCAGGGUAACAUGAGGAAAGCUUGCUUUCCUUGAUGACGACUGGCGCACGGGUGAGUAACGCGUAUCCAACCUUCCCAUAACUACGGGAUAACCCGUUGAAAGACGGCCUAAUACCGUAUGACAUCGUUUGCUGACAUCAAAUAACGAUUAAAGGUUUAGCGGUUAUGGAUGGGGAUGCGUCUGAUUAGCUUGUUGGCGGGGUAACGGCCCACCAAGGCGACGAUCAGUAGGGGUUCUGAGAGGAAGGUCCCCCACAUUGGAACUGAGACACGGUCCAAACUCCUACGGGAGGCAGCAGUGAGGAAUAUUGGUCAAUGGGCGAGAGCCUGAACCAGCCAAGUAGCGUGCAGGAUGACGGCCCUAUGGGUUGUAAACUGCUUUUAUGUGGGGAUAAAGUGCGUGACGUGUCAUGCAUUGCAGGUACCACAUGAAUAAGGACCGGCCAAUUCCGUG